CAGAUUGAUGCUGAUGGGAGAACAAAACAGCAAGGUCUUUAGGAGAGGCAUAUCUACUGAAGAAACUCAUGGUACAUGCAGAAACAGUUUUGUUGAGCUCUGGGACAGUUCUUUGUCAUGUGGCAAUCAAAUAGCUGUUUCUGGCCUUGGAAUCUCCUGUGCCCCAUCUCUUGCCAUCCUGCACCUGUGCUCAGCGCCACAUCCUGUAUCCUGCUUCUCAAGGUAUCUGCUUUCCUACCAGAGCUGUAUUUCCCUACUCCAUUAUGGUACAGGCAGAAAUAUCUCAUGAUGCACAUGACGCAGAAAACUUGCUUGUUGUUAAUGUCUGUAUAAAGCCAUGGUUGCACUGCAUGAAGAUAAACAAAGUGAAAUAAACUAUCCACAGCCACCUGGCCAUUAGAAAAAUUGCUAUUAGAAGUCCCUUGACCUGCUGUCAACACUCUUCCUAAUACAGCUCAAGAUAUCAUUGGCCUUCUUGGCCACAAGGGCAUAAUGCUGGCUCAUGGUUAACUUGCUGUCCACCAGGACUCCCAGGUCCUCCUCCACAAGGCUGUUUUCCAGUAGGUCAGCUCCCAACCUGUAAUGGUGCAUGGGGUUAUUCUGCCCUAGGUGCAGAAGCCUGCAUUUGCCCUUGUUGAACUUAAUGAGGUUCUUCUCUGCCCAAUGCUCCAGCCAGUCCAGGUCUCUCUGAAUGGUAGCACAGUCCUCUGGUGUGUCAGUUUGUCAGCUACUCUUCUCAGUUUUGUGUCAUCCACAUACUUGCUGAGGGUUAACUCUGUUUCAUCAUCCAAAUCAUUGAUGAAUAAGUUGAACAGUACAGUCCUGUACCUCUAGUGAGAGAGGGAGUUAGGAGAAUACAAUAAAUCACUAACCUUUUAGCAAAAGAAUUUACUAACUUUUAGAAAAGGUGGAACUGAGAGAGGAAGUUAAGGGAAUCUUAUCAAGUAGAGAUAGAGUGGUAGACAGCAUGAAACUAGGAUGCUCAAAUUAAUUAAAUCAAGAAGCCUUGGGCCCCUUUACCAAGGUCAGUCUUCUAAUAAGAGUGUGAGCCUGUCUUAAGAAACUGUUCCUGCGGAUGGACAAGAACCAAGAAGCAACUGAGUCUGCGCAGAGACAAGAGGUCAACUAGCAGUGAUGAGGAAGAGUCAUCAAUCUUCAUCCCCAUGACCACCAAAGACUACCACCAGAAUACACUGCGCAAGCACAGAUGGGAGAAGUUUAUGGAAAUGACUCCUUGGAAUUGAUUUUAAUAUGAAGCGGGGACAGGUUAUGAAUAUGUAUAGGCAUAGUGUGAAACUUCAUGCGUAUGUAACUCUUUGCUGCAUAUAACCAUGGCAAGUUGCCACGUCAGGUGUGCACGAUUUCGGUGGGGCUACCCCCCCCCCCCCGUGUUCCCCAGCACUGAA